rnacentral:rRNA from 1 species
AGAACGAACGCUGGCGGCAUGCCUAACACAUGCAAGUCGAACGAAGGCUUCGGCCUUAGUGGCGCACGGGUGAGUAACGCGUGGGAAACUGCCUAUCGGUGGGGAAUAACGACGGGAAACUGUCGCUAAUACCGCAUACGCCCUUCGGGGGAAAGAUUUAUCGCCGAUAGAUGUGCCCGCGUACGAUUAGCUAGUUGGUGAGGUAAUGGCUCACCAAGGCUACGAUCGUUAGCUGGUCUGAGAGGAUGAUCAGCCACACUGGGACUGAGACACGGCCCAGACUCCUACGGGAGGCAGCAGUGGGGAAUAUUGGACAAUGGGCGAAAGCCUGAUCCAGCAAUGCCGCGUGAGUGAUGAAGGCCUUAGGGUUGUAAAGCUCUUUCGGGUGGGACGAUGAUGACGGUACCACCAGAAGAAGCCCCGGCUAACUUCGUGCCAGCAGCCGC